rnacentral:sRNA from 1 species
UUUGAUUAAUGUUGAUCUUAUUUAUGAUAUGUUUAUGAAUCAUUGUCUAAAUAUUUUAUAAUUUUGUAGUAAUUAAUUGCUAUCAAAUAUCUCUACGGUUUGCUGCUUAUAAUCGAAUUGUUAUAGUCAUAAAAAAAAAAGCAAUAUCAAAAAUGAUAAUUUUGUAGUAUUUAAAUGAUAUUAAAUAUUUUGGAAGUUUUAUUUUAGUAACUAAUCGUAUAGUUAAUGCAGAGAGAUUUUGGGAAGGUAGUUAAAUGCAAACAUUUAAUUCGAAGAUUUAUUUUCUAAUUAUCAAAAACAAUUAUUAAAUGCCAGUGACAACCACUAUAAAUAAAUCUCAACAUGAAGAUUUAUUUCACAAAGUGGCUGCAAAAAUGUAUAUAUAGAUAUAUAGUUAUUAGUUGAUCAAGGGUUUGCAAAUUGAGGGACAGAAACUGAGAGAUGGGAAGAGACAAUAAUUUUAAA